GACGAACGCUGGCGGCGUGCCUAAUACAUGCAAGUCGAACGGUCUUUUCUAUGGAAGCUUGCUUCCGCUGAGAAGAUAGUGGCGAACGGGUGAGUAACACGUGGGUAACCUGCCCAUAAGAGGGGGAUAACAUCCGGAAACGGGUGCUAAUACCGCAUAGGUUUCUUGGUCGCAUGAUCGAGAAAGGAAAGACGGCCUUUGUGCUGUCGCUUAUGGAUGGACCCGCGGCGUAUUAGUUAGUUGGUGAGGUAACGGCUCACCAAGACGAUGAUCCGUAGCCGACCUGGGAGGGUGAUCGCCCACAUUGGGACUGAGACACGGCCCAAACCCCUACGGGGGGCAGCAGUAGGGAAUCUUCCGCAAUGGACGAAAGUCUGACGGAGCAACGCCGCGUGAGUGAAGAAGGUUUUCGGAUCGUAAAACUCUGUUGUCAGAGAAGAACAAGUCGGAGAGUAACUGCUCCGGCCUUGACGGUAUCUGACCAGAAAGCCACGGCUAACUACGUGCCAGCCGCCGCCGUAACAC
rnacentral:rRNA from 1 species